rnacentral:rRNA from 1 species
UACGGAGGAUGCAAGCGGUGUCCGGAUUUAUUGGAUUUAAAGGGUGCUUAGGAGGCAUAUUAAGUUAGUGGUGAAAACGUUCGGCUUAACCGGAUACCCGCCAUUGAUACUGAUAGACUUGAGUGCGACAGAGGGUGUUGGAAUGUGUGGUGUAGCGGUGAAAUGCUUAGAGAUCACGCAGAACACCAAUUGCGAAGGCAGAUGCCUAUGUCGUAACUGACGCUGAGGCACGAAAGCGUGGGGAGCAAACAGG